rnacentral:rRNA from 1 species
AGUGAACGCUGGCGGUAGGCCUAACACAUGCAAGUCGAACGGUAGCACAGUAAGAGCUUGCUCUUACGGGUGGCGAGUGGCGGACGGGUGAGGAAUACAUCGGAAUCUACUUUUUCGUGGGGGAUAACGUAGGGAAACUUACGCUAAUACCGCAUACGGCCUACGGGUGAAAGCAGGGGAUCUUCGGACCUUGCGCGAUUGAAUGAGCCGAUGUCGGAUUAGCUAGUUGGCGGGGUAAAGGCCCACCAAGGCGACGAUCCGUAGCUGGUCUGAGAGGAUGAUCAGCCACACUGGAACUGAGACACGGUCCAGACUCCUACGGGAGGCAGCAGUGGGGAAUAUUGGACAAUGGGCGCAAGCCUGAUCCAGCCAUACCGCGUGGGUGAAGAAGGCCUUCGGGUUGUAAAGCCCUUUUGUUGGGAAAGAAAAGCAGCAGGUUAAUACCCCGCUGUUCUGACGGUACCCAAAGAAUAAGCACCGGCUAACUUCGUG